rnacentral:tRNA from 1 species
GGGGGCAUGGCUUACUGGUAGAGCAUCUGUUUGUCAUUCAAAAAGUCCCAGGUUCAAUCCCUGUCAUCUCCA